CGCGAAACUGCGUGCCGCGAAAUUCGGAUCUCCCGCGGAAAAUGCCGCGCUCUGAUUGGUCGCUGACACAGGCAAAGGCUCCACCCCCCGGAAAGGACCCGACCCCUAGGCGGUGAUUACAACAAGAGCCUGGGGCUUAAAGGGGCCGCUACACCUGCUGUUGCUCGGCGCCCGCCAGCGCUGGCUGAGGGAGAAACAGACUGAGAGGAUGGUUCCCGCCCAGGGUAGAGGCAGCCGCAAGCUGAGGACUGGGUCCGAAUUCCCUGGAGGGAGGCCAAGGCUCAGAGAAGAGACCUUGGCUAGUGAGUGGCAGAGGCUCCAGAAGUUGCUGCUAAAUUCCAUAUCUGCUGAUUCCUGCCUGGUGCUGUGUGAUUUUUAUACAAGUUUGAGCCUGGCAUUCGAAGCACUCUGGAGUCAGUCUCCAGCUUACUACCUACCGGAUCCUCAGAUCUCCAGGAUGAGGUGGUAAUAAUUCAUGGGGAUGAAGAACCCAGACUUUGUGGCAGACAGCCCUGGGUUCAAUCCCAGGCACUGUCACUUCACUAGCUGUGUGACCCCAGGCAAGUUCUGUAAACUCUCUGAGCUCGGGUUUCCUUAUCCCUAGUGACACUCACUUCAUAAGAUUGUGGGGGAAUCUCAUGAGAUACCACAUGUAAAGCUCUCAGCACCCAGCCUAGUUCCUUAGGCACUUAAGAAACAGCAGCUGUGGUUACAUCUCUGGCCUUAUCUCUAGUACACAGACCCCUUUACUCCAGUCUAUGCAUUUCACUGGACUUUCAUGGCCCAGCCUAUUUAUUUACUUAUUUAUUUAUUUUUGGCGCACCCACGGCAUAUUGAAGUUUCCUGGCAAGAGAUCAAACCCGCGCCACAGUGCCAAUGCAGGAUCCUUAAUUCACUGAGCCACGAGGGAGCUCCCAGUUAAUUUUUUUGAUAUUACUUUUUUAUUUUACUUUUUAUUUUACUUUUUUGAUAUUACUUUUUUAUUUUACUUUUUUGAUAUUACUAUUUUAUUUUAUUCCUUAGCCAUUAAAAUCAUUCAAGCAUGUAUUUUUCUACAUAACUUAUUGCGAGCUGAUCAAUGAAUGUUAAAUAAAAUGUUAAUUUUCAUCAUUUGCUUCAAUGCAUGUCUUCUUGACCAAGUCUUCAUUUUUUAUUCCAUAAUAUUUUAUGCCUCACCUUUCAGGCAAUAAAGAAUUUUUAUUUUUUUUAAAUAAUUUUUUUUUUUUUGGUAUUUUUAGGGCUGCACUUGUAGCAUAUGGAAGUUCCUAGGCUAGGGGUGGAAUCGGAGCUGUAGCUACCAGCCUAGCCAUAGCCAAAGCAAAGCCAGAUCCCAACCACAUUUGCAACAUACAUUGUUUGAGACCUACACCACAGCUUAUGGCAAUGCCGGAUCCUCAACCCACCGAAUGAGGCCGGGGAUCGAACCCGCGUCCUCUUGGAUACUAGUCAGGUUUGUUACCACUGAGCCACAAUGGGAACUCCAAUGAGGAAAUUUUAAACACCACAGCUAAGAACCUGAACAUUCAUCUGCAAGUACCCAUACGCUUCUUACAUGCAGUUGUGCUCUUAGUGGUUUUCUUACAGCCAUCUUUGAUGAUAAGUUUUGGGAAAACAU